rnacentral:rRNA from 1 species
UGGGGAAUCUUGCGCAAUGGGGGAAACCUUGACGCAGCAACGCCGCGUGGGUGAUGAAGGCCUUCGGGUCGUAAAGCCCUGUCAGGUGGGAAGAAACAUGUCGGUGCUAAUAUCACCGAUGUUUGACGGUACCGCCGGAGGAAGCACCGGCUAACUCCGUGCCAGCAGCCGCGGUAAUACGGAGGGUGCAAGCGUUGUUCGGAAUUACUGGGCGUAAAGCGCGUGUAGGCGGUCGGGCAAGUCAGAUGUGAAAGCCUUCCGCUCAACGGAAGAAGUGCAUUUGAAACUACCUGGCUGGAGUACGGGAGAGGAGAGUGGAAUUCCCGGUGUAGAGGUGAAAUUCGUAGAUAUCGGGAGGAACACCAGUGGCGAAGGCGGCUCUCUGGUCCGAUACUGACGCUGAGACGCGAAAGCGUGGGGAGCAAACAGGAUUAGAUACCCUGGUAGUCCACGCCGUAAACGAUGGGCACUAGGUGUAGGAGGUAUUGACCCCUUCUGUGCCGAAGUUAACGCAUUAAGUGCCCCGCCUGGGGAGAACGACCGCAAGGUUA